rnacentral:misc_RNA from 1 species
AAGUCGUAACAAGGUUUCCGUAGGUGAACCUGCGGAAGGAUCAUUAACACGUAUCCAAACGUUAACCCCCCUGUGAACCUUUAGUGUGCUCGUACGCUUUGUCAGAGCGUGGCAAUCCCUAGUAAAUCAUCGCCGAACAGUUUUCGAUUUAGGGACUUCCACAAAGAGUGUGCUCGUAGCGCGAGGCAAGUGGCCUGGCAUUCCCAAGCAGUUGGUGUCUGAAAGUGUCACUGGCUGUGUAAGGAUGGCGCAGUCACGAUCGUUGGAGGCCGACACGGCCGACGACCGGGUCACCGGGCUCACGCCCCUUAAUCACAACUUAAUGCAUGUCAGACGCGCCUGCGCUUAAUUGUGCGGCGACCAUAAAACUCGAACAACUGUUAACAAUGGAUAUCUUGGUUCUC